CAUGUAGGCGGAUUAAUAAGUUUGAAGUGAAAUCCUAUAGCUUAACUAUAGAACUGCUUUGAAAACUGUUAAUCUAGAAUGUGGGAGAGGUAGAUGGAAUUUCUGGUGUAGGGGUAAAAUCCGUAGAGAUCAGAAGGAAUACCGAUUGCGAAGGCGAUCUACUGGAACAUUAUUGACGCUGAGAUGCGAAAGCGUGAGGAGCAAACA
rnacentral:rRNA from 1 species